UUCCGGUUGAUCCUGCCGGACCUGACUCGCUAUCGGAUUAAUACUAAGCCAUGCGAGUUUUUGUAGUAACUACAAGGCAUACGGCUCAGUAACACGUAGUCAACCUACCCUAUGGACGAGGAUAAUCUCGGGAAACUGAGCAUAAUACUCGAUAGAUCAUAAUGCCUGGAAUGGUUUAUGGUUGAAAUGAUUCGUUCGCCAUAGGAUGGGACUGCGGCCUAUCAGCUUGUUGGUGGGGUAAUGGCCCACCAAGGCGAUUACAGGUACGGGCUCUGAGAGGAGAAGCCCGGAGAUGGGUACUGAGACACGGACCCAGGCCCUAUGGGGCGCAGCAGGCGAGAAAACUUUGCAAUGUGCGAAAGCACGACAAGGUUAGUCCGAGUGAUUUCUGCUAAAGAAAUCUUUUGCAAGUCGUAAAACCACUAGUGAAUUAGGGGUGGGCAAGUUCUGGUGUCAGCCGCCGCGGUAAAACCAGCACCUCAAGUGGUCAGGAGGAUUAUUGGGCCUAAAGCAUCCGUAGCCGGCUUUGUUAGUUUUCGGUUAAAUCCAUGCGCUCAACGUAUGGGCUGCCGAGAAUACUGCAUAGCUAGGGAGUGGGAGAGGUAGACGGUACUCGGUAGGAAGGGGUAAAAUCCUUUGAUCUAUCGAUGACCACCUGUGGCGAAGGCGGUCUACCAGAACACGUUCGACGGUGAGGGAUGAAAGCUGGGGGAGCAAACCGGAUUAGAUACCCGGGUAGUCCCAGCUGUAAACGAUGCAGACUCGAUGAUGCAUUGGCAUAUAGCCAGUGCAGUGUCGCAGGAAGCCGUUAAGUCUGCCGCCUGGGGAGUACGUACGCAAGUAUGAAACUUAAAGGAAUUGGCGGGGGAGCACCACAAGGGGUGAAGCCUGCGGUUCAAUUGGAGUCAACGCCGGA
rnacentral:rRNA from 1 species